rnacentral:rRNA from 1 species
AAAUUGAAGAGUUUGAUCAUGGCUCAGAUUGAACGCUGGCGGCAGGCCUAACACAUGCAAGUCGAGCGGUAGCACAGAGAGCUUGCUCUCGGGUGACGAGCGGCGGACGGGUGAGUAAUGUCUGGGAAACUGCCUGAUGGAGGGGGAUAACUACUGGAAACGGUAGCUAAUACCGCAUAAUGUCGCAAGACCAAAGUGGGGGACCUUCGGGCCUCAUGCCAUCAGAUGUGCCCAGAUGGGAUUAGCUAGUAGGUGGGGUAAC